UACGUAGGGUGCAAGCGUUGUCCGGAAUUAUUGGGCGUAAAGAGCUCGUAGGCGGUUUGUUGCGUCGGCUGUGAAAUCCCGAGGCUCAACCUCGGGUCUGCAGUCGAUACGAGCAAACUAGAGUGUUGCAGGGGAGACUGGAAUUCCUGGUGUAGCGGUGAAAUGCGCAGAUAUCAGGAGGAACACCGGUGGCGAAAGCGGCUCACUGGAUCGAAACUGACGCUGAGGUGCGAAAGCUAGGGUAGCAAACGGG
rnacentral:rRNA from 1 species